CUCUGAUGAUGAUUCAGAUUUUUGUGCCACGUGUCUGGGCCACUGAUUCUUAGUGAUGGGAUUGAGGACCUGAAGAG
ensembl:snoRNA small nucleolar RNA SNORD66